UACGUAGGUGGCGAGCGUUAUCCGGAUUUAUUGGGCGUAAAGGGUGCGCAGGCGGUCUAUUAAGUCUAAGAUGAAAGCCCGGGGCUUAACUCUGGUUUGUUUUAGAAACUGGUAGGCUUGAGUAUCGUAGAGGCAAAUGGAAUUCCUAGUGUAGCGGUGGAAUGCGUAGAUAUUAGGAGGAACACCAGUGGCGAAGGCGAUUUGCUGGGCCAUUACUGACGCUCAUGCACGAAAGCGUGGGGAGCAAAUA
rnacentral:rRNA from 1 species